ensembl:lncRNA
UGAACAAGAAGAUUUUUGCGUUAAAGAAAGUAACAGAAUGACUGUUCUAUGGUUUCAUUCUUAUGGUAGUGCUCUUGCAUUGAUAUAACUCCAGGGAAUGGGUUUGCAGCAACUUUAAGAAACAGAGUGAACUAUUUGAAAGGGUUGAACCCUUUGAAAAGGGAUCUUUGCAGUUGGUCUAGUCAUUUUUAUUAUAAAACAUGGAGGAAUAACAUGCUGGAAGUUGGAUGAACUGAGUCAUAACACCAAAAGAACAUUUUCAAAAGCAAUUGAUCUCACUAACUGCUAUCUCUGAACCACUUGCUUUGCAAGCAAGCUCACUAUGGAGCCCACAGAAGUGUGAACAAAUGGGAUGUCACCAGAGCCACAGAUUCUCAGGCACAGCAGAAGGACACCAAGACUUCUGCACUUCAGCCAAGGUGCCAGAGAACACAGGGGAAUAUGACUAGAAAGGGAAGCAGGAGAGUUCUGAAGCACAAUGCUGGAGGCUGGAAAACAAUUUCACCUUCACUAUCACUAUCACUCCCAUUCAGAUUUGGAUCUCAUUCCUGGUCCUGCAGUCCACCAGAAAAACUGCAGGGCAGAGCUUCCUCUCACAGCACGUGAGUAAAGCUGUGAGCCUCUCCCCAGGCACCAGCCUGCAGCGCACUGCCUGGACAGGCUGCUCUGGUGGGCAAAUCUCUGCAUGGCACCCCCAGCAAGUCACAGCCCAAACACUUUGCUCACCUGGGGCGUGUGCAGGGAGGUGUUUGCCUUCCCUGGCACCACACAGAGGGAAGCUGGAUUUCCAUGACAACUGUAAACAAAAUCACACUGGAAUCUAUUUCAUCUGGGUUUCUGCACACAGAAUGGGACCUGGUGUCCCUCCUUUGUUCACAUUUCACAGCAGUAGGUAUUUGGAACAAGGAUGUUUUAUUAACUUAAAUAAUACUUUGCGUUUCGUUGAGUGCCAGGUUCUCAGUGGACGAGCAAGCUGAAUGAGAAGCAAUUGCUCUGAAAAUGGUGACAGCAAGAAGGCAUGAGCCCCAUUUAAUACAAUUUUAACAGCAUGACUUGUUAAUCACAAUACAACAAAAGCAGUUGUGGACUAUUUAAGCCUCAACCUUUUCCCUACAUGAGGAUGGUAUACCAAAACAUUUGUGUCUUUCUACACCAAGAGAAGAAAGGCCCUUCUCACGUGAAUUUAUAAUAUUCAGUAUGGGCUUCUUUUAAACUUUCCUGUUGUUGGCUUUUUUCCUCCCUCUACUUGGAUCCUUUAAAGAUCUGUAAUUUAUUAGAGGCUUCCUCUUCCUUCCUGUACCUUUCUGCUCUGGAUGCUCUAUUUAUAGGUUUUUGAAGC